CAAAAAGUUCAAUUUCACAUGACGUCGUCUGUGUGCUGUGAUUUUUUGUUGAAAUUAACUCAACCUCCGUACCUUAGCAUAAAAUUAUCGUAUUGCUGGAUUUUUCACAAAAAUCAAAACGGCCGAAAUGGAAAGUCUAUACCUCUACUUAUCAUAUUUGGCACUUUUGUUUGAGUGGUUCUUGACCUUGCGUGUUUUUGCGGACGGAUUGUUAUGUCUGCUUGGCAUUUCACAUUGCGCUUCUAAGACUAACUUCCUUUGACUUAAAACGCACAAACAUUUCGAGCCGAUGUCGACACAUUGUGGUCGUCGCCUUCAAGAAAGUCGUCAUGUUCUGCAAGAACGUCGUCAAUAAUCUAAAAUUAUAAAAUUGGACUCAAUUUGGUAAUGCUAAUAGCUUAGUUGUUGAUAAAUGUAAACAAAUAUUACUAACUAUAAGUAUAAUAAUCACCUCUUGCCUUCGUCUCUUCUCAAA